rnacentral:rRNA from 1 species
AUUGAACGCUGGCGGCAGGCCUAACACAUGCAAGUCGAGCGAGCGGCGGACUGGGGAGUAAUAUAUGGGGAUCUGCCCGAUAGAGGGGGAUAACUACUGGAAACGGUAGCUCAUACCGCAUACUCUCUGAUGAACCCAUAUGGGAUUAGCUAGUAGGUGAGGUAAUGGCUCACCUCGACGACGAUCCCUAGCUGGUCUGAGAGGAUGAUCAGCCACACUGGGACUGAGACACGGCCCAGACUCCUACGGGAGGCAGCAGUGGGGAAUAUUGGACAAUGGGGGAAAGCCUGAUGCAGCCAUGCCGCGUGUAUGAAGAAGGCCUUCGGGUUGUAAAGUACUUUUGGCAGAGAAGCGGUAUCUGCAGAAGAAGCACCGGCUAACUACGUGCCAGCCGCCGCGGUAAUUC